CCUACGGGUGGCAGCAGUGGGGAAUAUUGGGCAAUGGGCGCAAGCCUGACCCAGCAACGCCGCGUGAAGGAAGAAGGCUUUCGGGUUGUAAACUUCUUUUCUGAGGGACGAAGCAAGUGACGGUACCUCAGGAAUAAGCCACGGCUAACUACGUGCCAGCAGCCGCGGUAAUACGUAGGUGGCAAGCGUUAUCCGGAUUUAUUGGGUGUAAAGGGCGUGUAGGCGGGAAAGCAAGUCAGAUGUGAAAACUCAGGGCUCAACCUGGAGCCUGCAUUUGAAACUGUAUUUCUUGAGUGCUGGAGAGGCAAUCGGAAGUCGGGGUGUAGCGGUGAAAUGCGUAGAUAUACGGAGGAACACCAGUGGCGAAGGCGGAUGACUGGACAGUAACUGACGCUGAGGCGCGAAAGCGUGGGGAGCAAACAGGAUUAGAUACCCCAGUAGUC
rnacentral:rRNA from 1 species